UUUCAUAGACAUUUUUUAAUUUAAAAGAUGAAUCACAGGACCCUGACGAAAGGUUGCUGUUGUACAGGGACAACAUAACUAGAGGGAAAUAUUGACAGUUGGUUAUUAAUUUUUUUUGCAAACAAAUACUGCUACCAUUGAUCAUUCCUCAACUUGAGAUCAAAAGAGAAUGAGUUGAGUAAACUCAGCUGGGCAGAGAACUAAUUCAAAUCACAUAGCUUCCCAUGUUACUGUAAAAACAUGCUAGGGGAAUGGAAAAACUGACAAUAGACUGUCUCUCUCCAAAAAAACAUUGGGUAAGAACUCCUAUUACAACACAAUCUACAUCCAAGGUUUAGUCGGUUGCUGCUGCCCAUGCUGGAACAAGUGGUACCAUGGAGAUGCUUAGUGGACAUAACUGGAAGAAAAUCCAGAAACGCCAACCGGGUCAUCAGGAAGGAUGACUUUAAAUAGAUCAAAAUGAACUACUUUAAUACCUGCCCCUGCUGGAACAGAGGAAAUAAAGUCUCUGUUACCCGAA